rnacentral:rRNA from 1 species
CCUACGGGUGGCAGCAGUGAGGAAUAUUGGUCAAUGGCCGGAAGGCUGAACCAGCCAAGCCGCGUGAAGGACGAAGGUGCCCAGCAUUGUAAACUUCUUUUGUCAGGGGACAAAAUCAGGCUCGAGAGCCUGCCCGAGGGUACUUGAAGAAAAAGCAUCGUCUAACGCCGUGCCAGCAGCCGCGGUAAUACGGAGGAUGCGAGCGUUAUCCGGAUUUAUUGGGUUUAAAGGGUGCGUAGGCGGACUGUUAAGUCAGCGGUAAAAGCCCGGGGCUCAACCCCGGCGAGCCGUUGAAACUGGCUGGCUUGAGAGGACGAGAGGUAUGCGGAAUGCGCAGUGUAGCGGUGAAAUGCUUAGAUAUUGCGAAGAACUCCGAUUGCGAAGGCAGCAUACCGGCGGCGAUCUGACGCUGAGGCACGAAAGCGUGGGUAUCGAACAGGAUUAGAUACCCGAGUAGUC